CCUACGGGAGGCAGCAGUGAGGAAUAUUGGUCAAUGGGCGCGAGCCUGAACCAGCCAAGUAGCGUGAAGGAUGACUGCCCUACGGGUUGUAAACUUCUUUUAUAAAGGAAUAAAGUGAGGCACGUGUGCCUUUUUGUAUGUACUUUAUGAAUAAGGAUCGGCUAACUCCGUGCCAGCAGCCGCGGUAAUACGGAGGAUCCGAGCGUUAUCCGGAUUUAUUGGGUUUAAAGGGAGCGUAGAUGGGUUGUUAAGUCAGUUGUGAAAGUUUGCGGCUCAACCGUAAAAUUGCAAUUGAUACUGGCAGUCUUGAGUACAGUUGAGGUAGGCGGAAUUCGUGGUGUAGCGGUGAAAUGCUUAGAUAUCACGAAGAACUCCGAUUGCGAAGGCAGCCUACUGGACUGUAACUGACGCUGAUGCUCGAAAGUGUGGGUAUCAAACAGGAUUAGAUACCCUUGUAGUC
rnacentral:rRNA from 1 species